rnacentral:rRNA from 1 species
UUGAACGCUGGCGGCAGGCCUAACACAUGCAAGUCGCGCGGAUGAAGGGAGCUUGCUCCUGGAUUCAGCGGCGGACGGGUGAGUAAUGCCUAGGAAUCUGCCUGGUCGUGGGGGAUAACGUCCGGAAACGGGCGCUAAUACCGCAUACGUCCUGAGGGAGAAAGUGGGGGAUCUUCGGACCUCACGCUAUCAGAUGAGCCUAGGUCGGAUUAGCUAGUUGGUGGGGUAAAGGCCUACCAAGGCGACGACUCGUAACUGGUCUGAGAGGAUGAUCAGUCACACUGGAACUGAGACACGGUCCGGACUCCUACGGGAGGCAGCAGUGGGGAAUAUUGGACCAUGGGCGAAAGCCUGAUCCAGCCAUGCCGCGUUUGUGAAGAAGAUCUUCGGAUUGUAAAGCACUUUAAGUUGGGAGGAAGGGCAGUAAGUUAAUACCUUGCUGUUUUGACGUUACCAACAGAGUAAGCACCGGCUAACUUCGUG